rnacentral:rRNA from 1 species
UACGUAGGGGGCGAGCGUUGUCCGGAUUUACUGGGCGUAAAACGCUUGUAGGCGGCCACGCCAAGUCGGAUGUGAAAUCUCCCGGCUUAACUGGGAGGGGUCAUGCGAUACUGGCGGGCUCGAGGCAGGUAGGGGGAAGCGGAAUUCCCGGUGUAGUGGUGGAAUGCGUAGAUAUCGGGAGGAACACCAGUGGCGAAGGCGGCUUCCUGGACCUGUUCUGGACGCUGAGGAGCGAAAAGCGUGGGGGAGCGAACAGG